rnacentral:rRNA from 1 species
AUUGAACGCUGGCGGCAUGCCUUACACAUGCAAGUCGAACGGCAGCGCGGGAGCAAUCCUGGCGGCGAGUGGCGAACGGGUGAGUAAUAUAUCGGAACGUGCCCAGUAGUGGGGGAUAGCCCGGCGAAAGCCGGAUUAAUACCGCAUGAGACCUGAGGGUGAAAGCGGGGGAUCGCAAGACCUCGCGCUAUUGGAGCGGCCGAUAUCAGAUUAGCUAGUUGGUGGGUAAAGGCCUACCAAGGCAACGAUCUGUAGUUGGUCUGAGAGGACGACCAGCCACACUGGGACUGAGACACGGCCCAGACUCCUACGGGAGGCAGCAGUGGGGAAUUUUGGACAAUGGGCGCAAGCCUGAUCCAGCAAUGCCGCGUGCAGGAAGAAGG